CAGCAGCCGCGGUAAUACGAAGGGUGCAAGCGUUACUCGGAAUUACUGGGCGUAAAGCGUGCGUAGGUGGUGGUUUAAGUCCGUUGUGAAAGCCCUGGGCUCAACCUGGGAAUUGCAGUGGAUACUGGAUCACUAGAGUGUGGUAGAGGAUAGUGGAAUUUCCGGUGUAGCAGUGAAAUGCGUAGAGAUCGGAAGGAACAUCUGUGGCGAAGGCGACUAUCUGGGCCAACACUGACACUGAGGCACGAAAGCGUGGGGAGCAAACAGGAUUAGAUACCCGUGUAGUCCCUGUCUCUUAUAA
rnacentral:rRNA from 1 species